UACAGAGGUCCCAAGCGUUGUUCGGAUUCAUUGGGCGUAAAGGGUGCGUAGGCGGAGCACUAAGUCAGGUGUGAAAUCUCGGGGCUUAACUCCGAAACUGCAUUUGAUACUGGCGUGCUUGAGGACUGGAGAGGAGACUGGAAUUCAUGGUGUAGCAGUGAAAUGCGUAGAGAUCAUGAGGAAGACCAGUGGCGAAGGCGGGUCUCUGGACAGUUCCUGACACUGAGGCACGAAGGCCAGGGGAGCAAACGGG
rnacentral:rRNA from 1 species